rnacentral:rRNA from 1 species
UACGUAGGGUGCAAGCGUUGUCCGGAAUUAUUGGGCGUAAAGAGCUCGUAGGCGGUUCGUCGCGUCGGCUGUGAAAUCCCGAGGCUCAACCUCGGGUCUGCAGUCGAUACGGGCGGACUGGAGUUCGGCAGGGGAGACUGGAAUUCCUGGUGUAGCGGUGAAAUGCGCAGAUAUCAGGAGGAACACCGGUGGCGAAGGCGGGUCUCUGGGCCGAUACUGACGCUGUAGAGCGAAAGCGUGGGGAGCGAACAGG